GCUCGCUUCAGAGGAACAUAUACUAAAAUUGGAACGACACAGGGAAGAUUAGCAUGGCCCUUGCUCAAGGAUGACACAUAAAGUAUACUUGGAUGGAAAUCUUUG